AACAUAGCCUUUAGCCACUUACAAGUAUUAAAGGUGACGCCUGCCCAGUGAAAAAUUUAAACGGCCGCGGUAUCCUAACCGUGCAAAGGUAGCGUAAUCACUUGUCUUCUAAAUAAAGACCAGUAUGAACGGCUAAAUGAGGAUAAACCUGUCUCCUUUAACUAAUCAGUGAAACUGAUCUUCCAGUACAAAAGCUGGAAUAAAACUACAAGACGAGAAGACCCUGUGGAGCUUUAAAUUAAUACAAAAUACACCCCUACAAAUAUUUAUGAUAAAAAAUUUUAAGUUGGGGCGACUGCGGAAAAAAACCAAACUUCCAAGCAUAAAAGAUAUUAUCUUAAUCUAGGUUAACCAACCAAAACAAAUAUUGACCCAGUAGAACUGAGUAGCGAACCAAGUUACCCCAGGGAUAACAGCGCUAUCUUCUUCAAGAGUCCCUAUCAACAAGAAGGUUUACGACCUCGAUGUUGGAUCAGGACACCCAAAUGGUGCAGCCGCUAUUAAAGGUUCGUUUGUUCAACGAUUAACAGUCCU
rnacentral:rRNA from 1 species